UACGAAGGGGGCUAGCGUUGCUCGGAAUCACUGGGCGUAAAGGGUGCGUAGGCGGGUCUUUUAAGUCAGGGGUGAAAUCCUGGAGCUCAACUCCAGAACUGCCUUUGAUACUGAAGAUCUUGAGUUCGGGAGAGGUGAGUGGAACUGCGAGUGUAGAGGUGAAAUUCGUAGAUAUUGGGAAGAACACCGAUGGCGAAGGCAGCCAUCUGGACCGACACUGACGCUGAGGCGCGAAAGCGUGGGGAGCAAACAGGG
rnacentral:rRNA from 1 species